AUACGUAGGUGGCAAGCGUUGCCCGGAUUUACUGGGUGUAAAGGGCGUGUAGGCGGAGAUGCAAGUCAGGAGUGAAAUCUAGGGGCUCAACCCCUAAACUGCUUUUGAAACUGUAUCCCUUGAGUAUCGGAGAGGCAGGCGGAAUUCCUAGUGUAGCGGUGAAAUGCGUAGAUAUUAGGAGGAACACCAGUGGCGAAGGCGGCCUGCUGGACGACAACUGACGCUGAGGCGCGAAAGCGUGGGGAGCAAACAGGAUUAGAUACCCUGGUAGUCCACGUUGUAAACGAUGAAUACUAGGUGUGGGGGGACUGACCCCCUCCGUGCCGCAGUUAACACAAUAAGUAUUCCGCCUGGGGAGUACGGCCGCAAGGUUGAAACUCAAAUGAAUUGACGGGG
rnacentral:rRNA from 1 species